rnacentral:rRNA from 1 species
GACGAACGCUGGCGGCGUGCUUAACACAUGCAAGUCGAACGGAAAGGCCCUGCUUUUGUGGGGUGCUCGAGUGGCGAACGGGUGAGUAACACGGGAGUAACCUGCCCUUGACUUUGGGAUAACUUCAGGAAACUGGGGCUAAUACCGGAUAGGAGCUCCUGCUGCAUGGUGGGGGUUGGAAAGUUUCGGCGGUUGGGGAUGGACUCGCGGCUUAUCAGCUUGUUGGUUGGGUAGUGGCUUACCAAGGCUUUGACGGGUAGCCGGCCUGGGAGGGUGGACAGGCACAUUGGGACUGAGGUAGGGAGCAGACUGCAACGGGGGGCAACGGUGGGAAGUCUUGCACAGUGGGCGGAAGCCUGAUACAGCAGCGCCGCGUGCGGGAUGACGGCCUUCGGGUUGUGAACCGCUUUCGCCUGUGACGAAGCGUGAGUGACGGUAAUGAGUAAAGAAGCACCGGCUAACUACGUG